rnacentral:misc_RNA from 1 species
GAGAAUUGUCUCAGCCGAGAAAUUUCUCAAGUUGGCUUUCACUAAACUUUUUCUCAAGUCUUGAGAUUUUUCUCAGCUGAGCCGUAAUUUUUUAAAACAUAAGCGGCCAAACAUCCAAGGAGCCGCGUGAACUUUCCCACAAACACGAGUGCAUAGUUAGGGGCAGUGGAAUUAUUCAUUUAUUGAGACGAAACGAAGCGUUGAGAAAUGUUCAUAAACAACAUGUACAGUUUCGGGAUAUAUCCAAAUUGUGUUUGUACAAAGGUCACAGCCUGCUGAUGAAGAUCCUCAGCUUAUUAUACAGAAGUCAGGCUUGAGCUAUGUGCUGAUUCAAAAGAUGCUUAUGACAGUGGAUAAUCCAUUCUGAGUUGUUCUAGGAUCAUUCACCAACGUUUCAAAACACUGAUGGAACUGAAGGCAGUACAUAUACUGAUGUCUGGCCUGUGAUUUCAAGUAUAGACUAUAUCAAUCGUAACAUAACGAACUGGAUAUAACACCAUGCAGCAUGAUGUAAUAAAGAUCAUUUUGAAACAGUUACGCAUUGUCAAUUGGUCUUGAUAUUUGAACAUUUACCAGCCAGUACAUGCUAUGCAUGCAAUAUCUUUAACAGUUUGAGAGAAGAACAUGUCUAAGACAUUUGUCCACCAUUUCUUACUCAUUUACAAUGGGAAGUUGUCUGUGAGCACAAGUCAUUUCUUGUAAAGAAUGCAGGAACACUUAAAAGGUUAACUGAACACCAUUACAUGACUGAAAUACUGUUGCAAAAUUGAAUCAUAUUGAAACAAAAAACAAAAAAAGGAAAUUUUGCUCCAUAAAUGCAUAACAA